CUGGCGGCGUGCCUGAUACAUGCAGUCGAACGAACUCUGGUAUUGAUUGGUGCUUGCAUCAUGAUUUACAUUUGAGUGAGUGGCGAACUGGUGAGUAACACGUGGGAAACCUGCCCAGAAGCGGGGGAUAACACCUGGAAACAGAUGCUAAUACCGCAUAACAACUUGGACCGCAUGGUCCGAGUUUGAAAGAUGGCUUCGGCUAUCACUUUUGGAUGGUCCCGCGGCGUAUUAGCUAGAUGGUGGGGUAACGGCUCACCAUGGCAAUGAUACGUAGCCGACCUGAGAGGGUAAUCGGCCACAUUGGGACUGAGACACGGCCCAAACUCCUACGGGAGGCAGCAGUAGGGAAUCUUCCACAAUGGACGAAAGUCUGAUGGAGCAACGCCGCGUGAGUGAAGAAGGGUUUCGGCUCGUAAAACUCUGUUGUUAAAGAAGAACAUAUCUGAGAGUAACUGUUCAGGUAUUGACGGUAUUUAACCAGAAAGCCACGGCUAACUACGUGCCAGCAGCCGCGGUAAUACGUAGGUGGCAAGCGUUGUCCGGAUUUAUUGGGCGUAAAGCGAGCGCAGGCGGUUUUUUAAGUCUGAUGUGAAAGCCUUCGGCUCAACCGAAGAAGUGCAUCGGAAACUGGGAAACUUGAGUGCAGAAGAGGACAGUGGAACUCCAUGUGUAGCGGUGAAAUGCGUAGAUAUAUGGAAGAACACCAGUGGCGAAGGCGGCUGUCUGGUCUGUAACUGACGCUGAGGCUCGAAAGUAUGGGUAGCAAACAGGAUUAGAUACCCUGGUAGUCCAUACCGUAAACGAUGAAUGCUAAGUGUUGGAGGGUUUCCGCCCUUCAGUGCUGCAGCUAACGCAUUAAGCAUUCCGCCUGGGGAGUACGGCCGCAAGGCUGAAACUCAAAGGAAUUGACGGGGGCCCGCAC
rnacentral:rRNA from 2 species